rnacentral:rRNA from 1 species
AUUUUGCGCAAUGGGGGAAACCCUGACGCAGCAACGCCGCGUGCGGGACGACGGCCUUCGGGUUGUAAACCGCUUUCAGCAGGGAAGAACAACGACGGUACCUGCAGAAGAAGCUCCGGCUAACUACGUGCCAGCAGCCGCGGUAAUACGUAGGGAGCGAGCGUUAUCCGGAUUCAUUGGGCGUAAAGAGCGCGUAGGCGGCCUCUCAAGCGGGAUCUCUAAUCCGAGGGCUCAACCCCCGGCCGGAUCCCGAACUGGGAGGCUCGAGUUCGGUAGAGGCAGGCGGAAUUCCCGGUGUAGCGGUGGAAUGCGCAGAUAUCGGGAAGAACACCGAUGGCGAAGGCAGCCUGCUGGGCCGAAACUGACGCUGAGGCGCGAAAGCUAGGGGAGCGAACAG